rnacentral:rRNA from 1 species
GAUGAACGCUGGCGGCGUGCCUAAUACAUGCAAGUCGAGCGAACAGACGAGGAUCUUGCUCCUGUGACGUUAGCGGCGGACGGGUGAUUAACACGUGGAUAACCUACCUAUAAGACUGGGAUAACUUCGGGAAACCGGAGCUAAUACCGGAUAAUAUAGUGAACCGCAUGGUUCAUUAGUGAAAGACGGUUUUGCUGGCACUUAUAGAUGGAUGCGCGCCGCAUUAGCUAGUUGGUAAGGUAACGGCGUACCAAGGCAACGAUGCGUAGCCGACCUGAGAGGGUGAUCGGCCACACUGGAACUGAGACACGGUCCAGACUCCUACGGGAGGCAGCAGUGGGGAAUCUUGGGCAAUGGGCGAAAGCCUGACCGAGCAAUGCCGCGUGAGUGAUGAAGGUCUUCGGAUCGUAAAGCUCUGUUAGCAGGGAAGAACAAAUGUGUAAGUAACUCUGGGCUUCAUGACGGUACCUGAUCAGAAAGCACCGGCUAACUACGUG